CCCUAUCUUUGAUCACAAUCUCUUUUAUCACAAUCUGCAUCUUCUACACCCAUUCGAUUAGUUUCAUCUCCUCUCUUCAUGCUUAAAUUCUAUCUCUUUGAAGGCUUACUAUUUGACAAAAAAAUGAAAUUUCAUUCGUUGUUCUUCUUCCUUGGGGUCCUCACAUUUUCAUCAGGCUUGAUUUUUUAUGAUUUUACUGCCUCUUUUGUUCUUCUUCUCUGUUGUUCUUCGUCCUCCCUCUUGCAUGCAAGGUGUUUGAGGUAUUGUUUUCAUUCUCUACUUCUACUAAAUGUCUCUCUUUUCUCUAUACCCAAACCCUUCUCUCUAUUUUUCAGACCCUUUCUCUUCUUCUGCCUCUCCCUCUUCCUCUCUAAGCAGCCAUCCAACUACUUGAUCUAAUCAUCCUCCAAGCACUCUACCUUGACUCUUCUCUGGAGUUUUGAUCUGAUGCAGGUCUCCACUAAAUCAAGGGUCUAGCAUUUCUUGAGUUUCAAUUUGUUGGAGGUUUCCACUAAUCAAGGUAUGGCACGUAAAGCUAACUCGAUCGCUGGAGUUGAUGAGUCAUAAGAAACAUGGAAAUCAGGAGUCAGAAUAACUAAUCUGUCAAAUCUGGAGUUGAUGAGUAUAUGCCUUUUUUAUGGUUCAUCUGGGCACCAAUAUAAUCUUGAGUUGUGAUCAUGGCUAUAUUUUCUGUUGUAGGACCAACCCAAAUAUACUCAUUUUUUGUUAGAUUGAAUGGAUUUUGAUUCCAUUUUGACUUAAUUUUGGGCUUUCAUUUAUUUUUUCUUUUGUAUAUUUUAAUUACUUCCGGUUUUCUUCAUUAUUUCUCUUAUAAGUUCCACUAUUGUUUAGAUUUUUUAUUCUUUUUUUUUAUCAUGCUUUACUAGAGGCUAUGGAGCAACUGAAAUUAGUAGCAAGUUUUGAAAAUAGUCUUAACGAACCUGAUGCCCUUUUCGACAAGCGAGUUCCAGAGCACAAUAUGGAAGACUGAGAGCAUGUAGAAGAAGAUGGUUAGGCAUGAUAAAGAAGAUAAUGUGCUGUUAGGAGCGGAUGGUAUCUUCAAGUACAACACUUAUCUGUGGAAAAAUAUGGCUCUCUUAGAAGGAUAUGCUUUCUAUUUGGUCAUCAGUAUACCUUUAAUUGGAAAUCUUAUUUUUGUUUUUAGUUGCCGCUA